rnacentral:rRNA from 1 species
GACGGAGGAUGCAAGCGUUAUCCGGAAUGAUUGGGCGUAAAGCGUCCGUAGGUGGCAGUUCAAGUCUGCUGUCAAAGACCGGGGCUUAACUUCGGAAAGGCAGUGGAAACUGAACAGCUAGAGUAUGGUAGGGGCAGAGGGAAUUCCUGGUGUAGCGGUGAAAUGCGUAGAGAUCAGGAAGAACAUCGGUGGCGAAGGCGCUCUGCUGGACCAUAACUGACACUCAGGGACGAAAGCUAGGGGAGCGAAUGGG